AUUGAACGCUGGCGGCAGGCCUAACACAUGCAAGUCGAGCGGGGUUUUCGGACCUAGCGGCGGACGGGUGAGUAAUGCGUAGGAAGCUACCCGAUAGAGGGGGAUACCAGUUGGAAAUGACUGUUAAUACCGCAUAAUGUCUACGGACCAAAGUGUGGGACCUUCGGGCCACAUGCUAUCGGAUGCGCCUACGUGGGAUUAGCUAGUUGGUGGGGUAAUGGCUCACCAAGGCGACGAUCCCUAGCUGGUUUGAGAGGAUGAUCAGCCACACUGGAACAGAGACACGGUCCAGACUCCGACGGGAGGCAGCAGUGGGGAAUAUUGGACAAUGGGCGCAAGCCUGAGCCAGCCAUGCCGCGUGUGUGAAGAAGGCCUUCGGGUUGUAAAGCACUUUCAGUAGGGAGGAAGGGUGUUGUGUUAAUAGCACAGCAUUUUGACGUUACCUACAGAAGAAGCACCGGCUAACUCUGUGCCAGCCGCCGCAGUAACAC
rnacentral:rRNA from 1 species